AGUGAACGCUGGCGGCGUGCUUAACACAUGCAAGUCGAACGAGAACGGGCUAUAGCUUGCUAUAGUUGUCAGCUAAGUGGCGCACGGGUGAGUAAUGUAUAGGUAAUAUGCCUCUUACUAAGGGAUAACAAAUGGAAACGUUUGCUAAUACCUUAUACUCCUUAUUAACAGAAGUUAAUAAGGGAAAGAUUUAUUGGUAAGAGAUUAGCCUGUAUUGUAUCAGUUAGUUGGUGGGGUAAUGGCUUACCAAGACUAUGACACAUAACUGGUUUGAGAGGAUGAUCAGUCAAACUGGAACGGAGAAACGGUCCAGACUCCUACGGGAGGCAGCAGUGGGGAAUAUUGCACAAUGGACGAAAGUCUGAUGCAGCAACGCCGCGUGGAGGAUGACACAUUUCGGUGCGUAACUCCUUUUAUAUGAGAAGAUAAUGACGGUAUUAUAUGAAUAAGCACCGGCUAACUCCGUGCCAGCCGCCGCGGUAA
rnacentral:rRNA from 1 species